rnacentral:rRNA from 1 species
GUGCCAGCAGCCGCGGUAAUACGUAGGGGGCAAGCGUUGUCCGGAAUCAUUGGGCGUAAAGAGCGCGUAGGCGGCCCGGUAAGUCCGCUGUGAAAGUCAAGGGCUCAACCCUUGAAUGCCGGUGGAUACUGUCGGGCUAGAGUCCGGAAGAGGCGAGUGGAAUUCCUGGUGUAGCGGUGAAAUGCGCAGAUAUCAGGAGGAACACCAAUGGCGAAGGCAGCUCGCUGGGACGGUACUGACGCUGAGGCGCGAAAGCGUGGGGAGCAAACAGGAUUAGAUACCCCCGUAGUCC